CCCUGACAGUUACAUUCCCGUAACUGACUAACCCAAGACAGGAGAUUAACAUG
rnacentral:ncRNA from 1 species